GACGAACGCUGGCGGCGUGCUUAACACAUGCAAGUCGAACGAAGAGCGAUGGAAGCUUGCUUCUAUCAAUCUUAGUGGCGAACGGGUGAGUAACGCGUAAUCAACCUGCCCUUCAGAGGGGGACAACAGUUGGAAACGACUGCUAAUACCGCAUACGAUCUAACCUCGGCAUCGAGGAAAGAUGAAAGGUGGCCGCUAUGUAUAAGCUAUCACUGAAGGAGGGGAUUGCGUCUGAUUAGCUAGUUGGAGGGGUAACGGCCCACCAAGGCGAUGAUCAGUAGCCGGUCUGAGAGGAUGAACGGCCACAUUGGGACUGAGACACGGCCCAGACUCCUACGGGAGGCAGCAGUGGGGAAUCUUCCGCAAUGGACGAAAGUCUGACGGAGCAACGCCGCGUGAGUGAUGACGGCCUUCGGGUUGUAAAGCUCUGUUAAUCGGGACGAAAGGCCUUCUUGCGAAUAGGGAGAAGGAUUGACGGUACCGGAAUAGAAAGCCACGGCUAACUACGUG
rnacentral:rRNA from 1 species